UGAGGAAUAUUGGUCAAUGGGCGAGAGCCUGAACCAGCCAAAUCGCGUGAAGGAAGACUGCCUUAUGGGUUGUAAACUUCUUUUAUACAGGAAUAAAAAAGGGGACGUGUCCCUUAUUGCAUGUACUGUAUGAAUAAGCAUCGGCUAACUCCGUGCCAGCAGCCGCGGUAAUACGGAGGAUGCGAGCGUUAUCCGGAUUUAUUGGGUUUAAAGGGUGCGCAGGCGGGCUUUUAAGUCAGCGGUGAAAUCUCGGGGCUUAACUCCGAAACUGCCGUUGAAACUGGGAGUCUUGAGUAUGGAUGAAGUAGGCGGAAUUCGUUGUGUAGCGGUGACAUGCUUAGAUAUAACGAGGAACUCCGAUUGCGUAGGCAGCUUACUAAGCCAUAACUGACGCUCAAGCACGAAAGCGUGGGGAUCAAACAGGAUUAGAUACCCUGGUAGUCCACGCCGUAAACGAUGAUUACUAGUUGUAUGCGAUAUACCGUAUGUGACUAAGCGAAAGCGAUAAGUAAUCCACCUGGGGAGUACGCCGGCAACGGUGAAACUCAAAGGAAUUGACGGGGUCAUAGCUGUUUCCUG
rnacentral:rRNA from 1 species